rnacentral:rRNA from 1 species
CGAAUGCUGACAUAAGUAACGAUAAAGCGGGUGAAAAGCCCGCUCGCCGGAAGACCAAGGGUUCCUGUCCAACGUUAAUCGGGGCAGGGUGAGUCGACCCCUAAGGCGAGGCCGAAAGGCGUAGUCGAUGGGAAACAGGUUAAUAUUCCUGUACUUGGUGUUACUGCGAAGGGGGGACGGAGAAGGCUAUGUUGGCCGGGCGACGGUUGUCCCGGUUUAAGCGUGUAGGCUGGUUUUCCAGGCAAAUCCGGAAAAUCAAGGCUGAGGCGUGAUGACGAGGCACUACGGUGCUGAAGCAACAAAUGCCCUGCUUCCAGGAAAAGCCUCUAAGCAUCAGGUAACAUCAAAUCGUACCCCAAACCGACACAGGUGGUCAGGUAGAGAAUACCAAGGCGCUUGAGAGAACUCGGGUGAAGGAACUAGGCAAAAUGGUGCCGUAACUUCGGGAGAAGGCACGCUGAUAUGUAGGUGAGGUCCCUCGCGGAUGGAGCUGAAAUCAGUCGAAGAUACCAGCUGGCUGCAACUGUUUAUUAAAAACACAGCACUGUGCAAACACGAAAGUGGACGUAUACGGUGUGACGCCUGCCCGGUGCCGGAAGGUUAAUUGAUGGGGUUAGCGGUAACGCGAAGCUCUUGAUCGAAGCCCCGGUAAACGGCGGCCGUAACUAUAACGGUCCUAAGGUAGCGAAAUUCCUUGUCGGGUAAGUUCCGACCUGCACGAAUGGCGUAAUGAUGGCCAGGCUGUCUCCACCCGAGACUCAGUGAAAUUGAACUCGCUGUGAAGAUGCAGUGUACCCGCGGCAAGACGGAAAGACCCCGUGAACCUUUACUAUAGCUUGACACUGAACAUUGAGCCUUGAUGUGUAGGAUAGGUGGGAGGCUUUGAAGUGUGGACGCCAGUCUGCAUGGAGCCGACCUUGAAAUACCACCCUUUAAUGUUUGAUGUUCUAACGUUGACCCGUAAUCCGGGUUGCGGACAGUGUCUGGUGGGUAGUUUGACUGGGGCGGUCUCCUCCUAAAGAGUAACGGAGGAGCACGAAGGUUGGCUAAUCCUGGUCGGACAUCAGGAGGUUAGUGCAAUGGCAUAAGCCAGCUUGACUGCGAGCGUGACGGCGCGAGCAGGUGCGAAAGCAGGUCAUAGUGAUCCGGUGGUUCUGAAUGGAAGGGCCAUCGCUCAACGGAUAAAAGGUACUCCGGGGAUAACAGGCUGAUACCGCCCAAGAGUUCAUAUCGACGGCGGUGUUUGGCACCUCGAUGUCGGCUCAUCACAUCCUGGGGCUGAAGUAGGUCCCAAGGGUAUGGCUGUUCGCCAUUUAAAGUGGUACGCGAGCUGGGUUUAGAACGUCGUGAGACAGUUCGGUCCCUAUCUGCCGUGGGCGCUGGAGAACUGAGGGGGGCUGCUCCUAGUACGAGAGGACCGGAGUGGACGCAUCACUGGUGUUCGGGUUGUCAUGCCAAUGGCACUGCCCGGUAGCUAAAUGCGGAAGAGAUAAGUGCUGAAAGCAUCUAAGCACGAAACUUGCC